ACCUACUGUUUAAUUUUGAGGGUUCGUUUUUACGAAUACUCAAAAUUAGCACUUUAAGCAACGGGAUUUAUCCGUUGGCGCUGUGCUUUAGCACUUUGAAAACUGCAUAUAUAUUUAGUGAUAUGGCAUCUAAUUUGUAAUAUAUAAAGCUGAUAACUUUUUAAAAUUAUCGAAGUUGAUAGCUUCUAAUCUAUCAAACCUUUUUAACUGGUCAA
rnacentral:misc_RNA from 1 species